rnacentral:misc_RNA from 1 species
GAUGAAGAACGUAGCGAAAUGCGAUAAGUAAUGUGAAUUGCAGAAUUCAGUGAAUCAUCGAAUCUUUGAACGCACAUUGCGCCCUCUGGUAUUCCGGGGGGCAUGCCUGUUCGAGCGUCAUUACAACCCUCAAGCUUUGCUUGGUAUUGGACAUUGCCAGUUUCUGGCAGGUCUUAAAAUCAGUGGCGGUGCCAUUUGGCUUCAAGCGUAGUAAUUCUUCUCGCUUUGGAGAUCCAAGUGGUUACUUGCCAAUAACCCCCAAUUUUUUCAGGUUGACCUCGGAUCAGGUAGGGAUACCCGCUGAACUUAAGCAUAUCAAUAAGCGAGGA